UGCAUUUAGUGGUUGUUUUUGUUAUGUUUACAAAGUUGGCAGUUGAUGUGACUUGAAAGUUUUUACAGUAGACAUUUAAAUUAAAUUGUUAAAACCGUGAACAUGACGUCACUCACUACGAGAGAUUUUGUCACGACUCAAGAGGAAUUAGUGACAUUAAUCUAGAGUUUUACUCAGUUACUCAUGUCGAGAGCUACAAGAAUUGAAUGGAAAUGGAAGAUAUUCUUAAUCUUACCGAUGAACAGCUUCCUGCUGUAAAUGCUUGGUUUAAUAUAGGUAGGAAACACACACACACGCACACGCACACAUGCACAUACACAUACACAUACAAACACACACACACACACACACACACACACACAUAUACACACACACACACACACAUACAGUACACACACACCAGAAAAUAUAUCAGGUAUAAAGUGUUCAAUGCUUCAAAAUAUAUAACAUUCACAGCAUUUAGUCAUGUAAUUACUCAGUAGCUCAAACUAAGGUUUUCACUGCAGGGAACAAGUUAUGGGAUGAACCUGAACCCUUGGAAAACAACCAUGAAGUUCAUUUCCCCCUUAUGAG